UACGUAGGGUGCGAGCGUUAAUCGGAAUUACUGGGCGUAAAGCGUGCGCAGGCGGUUUUGUAAGCCAGAUGUGAAAUCCCCGGGCUUAACCUGGGAAUGGCAUUUGGGACUGCAAGGCUUGAGUGCGGCAGAGGAGACUGGAAUUCCUGGUGUAGCAGUGAAAUGCGUAGAUAUCAGGAGGAACACCGAUGGCGAAGGCAGGUCUCUGGGCUGACACUGACGCUCAUGCACGAAAGCUAGGGGAGCAAACAGG
rnacentral:rRNA from 1 species